rnacentral:rRNA from 1 species
UACGUAGGGGGCAAGCGUUGUCCGGAAUCAUUGGGCGUAAAGAGCGCGCAGGCGGUCGGCCAAGUCGAGUGUGAAAGCCCCCGGCUCAACUGGGGAGGGUCAUUCGAUACUGGUCGACUCGAAGGCAGGAGAGGGAAGCGGAAUUCCCGGUGUAGUGGUGAAAUGCGUAGAUAUUCGGAAGAACACCAGUGGCGAAGGCGACUUACUGGACACAUAUUGACGCUGAGGUGCGAAAGCGUGGGGAGCAAACAGG